rnacentral:lncRNA from 1 species
AACAUACACAAAUUAGUUUUUAUACGAACGGAUAAGUAAAUUGAAUUCACAAUUCAAGAAACGCAAUUGGAAGUAAUCAAAUCAUAUAGCAAGCAUAAACAUGGUUUUGAAUCCCCCCCUAGCCAAGGGGGGUUUAGUUCCUCAUUAUUACAAAACAAAGAUAAACAAAUUUAACCAUUGAAAAACAAAGGGAAGAAAGCACCUAAACGUUCCAACGAUCCAUGUUGGAUAGCAAGCGCGUCCAAGGACUUUUCUCCUUCUCUUUGCCGCCACAACAAGGUUGGAAUGAUGUUGAAGGGUUGGUUAUUUUGAGGAAUGGAUGGGAAGGGGUUUAGAUAUGUAGGAGAGGCAAGGAAAGGCUUGGAGAAUGGU